GGGCCCAUAGCUCAGUUGGUUAGAGCGCUCGACUCAUAAUCGAUCGGUCGCAGGUUCAAGUCCUGCUGGGCCCACCA
rnacentral:tRNA from 17 species